GACGAACCGAGCGAACGUUGUUCGGAAUCACUGGGCUUAAAGGGCGCGUAGGCGGGCAUUCAAGUCUGUGGUGAAAUCCUCCAGCUCAACUGGAGAACUCGCCAUGGAUACUGGGUGUCUCGAGGGUGGUAGGGGUAUGCGGAACUAUCGGUGGAGCGGUGAAAUGCGUUGAUAUCGAUAGGAACUCCGGUGGCGAAGGCGGCAUACUGGACCGACAUCUGACGCUGAGGCGCGAAAGCCAGGGGAGGCGAACAGG
rnacentral:rRNA from 1 species